rnacentral:rRNA from 1 species
UACGAAGGGGGGCUAGCGUUGCUCGGAAUCACUGGGCGUAAAGGGUGCGUAGGCGGGUCUUUUAAGUCAGGGGUGAAAUCCUGGAGCUCAACUCCAGAACUGCCUUUGAUACUGAGGAUCUUGAGUUCGGGAGAGGUGAGUGGAACUGCGAGUGUAGAGGUGAAAUUCGUAGAUAUUCGCAAGAACACCAGUGGCGAAGGCGGCCAACUGGUCCGGUACUGACGCUGAGGUGCGAAAGCGUGGGGAGCAAACAGGG